GAGUUUGAUCAUGGCUCAGGAUGAACGCUAGCGGCAGGCCUAACACAUGCAAGUCGAGGGGUAGAGUUAGCUUGCUAACUUGAGACCGGCGCACGGGUGCGUAACGCGUAUGCAAUCUACCUUGUACAGGGGGAUAGCCCAGAGAAAUUUGGAUUAAUACCCCAUAGUGUUAUUGGAUGGCAUCAUUUGAUAACUAAAGUUCCAACGGUACAAGAUGAGCAUGCGUCCCAUUAGCUAGUUGGUGUGGUAACGCAUACCAAGGCAAUGAUGGGUAGGGGUCCUGAGAGGGAGAUCCCCCCACACUGGUACUGAGACACGGACCAGACUCCUACGGGAGGCAGCAGUGAGGAAUAUUGGUCAAUGGGCGCAAGCCUGAACCCAGCCAUGCCCGCGUGCAGGAU
rnacentral:rRNA from 1 species